rnacentral:rRNA from 1 species
GACGAACCACACAAACGUUAUUCGGAAUUACUGGGCUUAAAGGGUGCGUAGGCGGCGCAGAAAGUUGGGUGUGAAAUACCUCGGCUCAACUGAGGAACUGCGCCCAAAACUGCUGUGCUCGAGGAAGAUAGAGGUGAGCGGAACUUACGGUGGAGCGGUGAAAUGCGUUGAUAUCGUAAGGAACACCUGUGGCGAAAGCGGCUCACUGGGUCUUUUCUGACGCUGAUGCACGAAAGCUAGGGGAGCAAACGGG